CAUAGGGUAAUAUUAGGGUAACAAUACAGAAUGAAUACAUACACUGAGUAUACCAAACAUUAGGAACACCUGAGUUGCACCCAACACCAUUCUUCAUACACACGGGAAACUGUUGAGCGUGAAAACCCCAUUUAUCAGGUAUGAAGGUAAGACCCAGAUGCAGAACACAUCGAAUAAACAAUAGUUUAAUGAUCCAAUAGGGGCAGGCAAUAGACAGGUCAAGCCAGGCAGGGGUCAUAAAAUUAGAGGUCAGGCAAUGGUACCAGACGGCAGGCAGGCUCAGGGUAAGCAGAGGUCAAAAUCAAAGUCAAAGGUACAGGUCGGUAGGCGGGCGGGCUCGGAGUCAGGAGAAACAGAUCAGGGUGUGACACCAUUAGCAUUGCAGUUCUUGACACAAACCGGUGCACCUGGCACCUACUACCAUACCCUGUUCAAAGGCACUUCAAUCUUUUGUCUUGCACAUUCACCCUGUGAAUGGCACAUGUCGUGUCUUUGGCUAUGCCAGAUUAUGUGAUAUGACUUGCUAUUCUAUAAAAUAAUUUCUCUGUAAUUAAUAUCACCUGAUUGAUCUAAUCAUGAAAAUGUAAUUAACUAGAGAGUCGGGUACCACGAAAGAACAUUUAUAGAGCUGUUAUCUUCCGAAUAAACUCUUAAAGACCUAGUAAUAUUUUACAUCCAUAGCAGUCAACAUUAAUCUUCAUCUUACUUCUCAUCUGAAAGUUGUAAAUUCUUUUAUCUGCACGAACCCUGGCUAACAAUUUGAAUCAGCAAUACAAAUUGGGUUUAAUUAUUUAUUUACUAAAUACCUAACUAAUCACACAGAAUUCACAUACACACAAUUAAUCAUAACUUGAUUACAAAUUACGUCAUAAAAAAAGAAAACAGAAUUGACGGCUUGUUACACAAAGGAAAAGGGGCUGAGUUGAAUGAAAGAGCGGGAAGACAGGAACAAAGCGCGAAGCUGUGCUAUUGUAAAUAUAGUAUCUUAAGCAUUCUAAAUUACCGCCCAUUUGGAAAAGGAAAAUGCAAUAAAUAUUUACUCCGAGCUGCGCUUCAGUAUGUUGGUGGUCGAUGGAAGGCCAUGUUGCCAAACCGAGUCCUCUGUCCUUUGAAGAAGGUUAAUUGUCAAUUGGAUACGUUGUAGUAACGUUGUUGUGUGGUAGACGGGAUACUCUGUCUGUUCCUUCCUAACCUGCGUUUGCAGCUGCGGUCGCUAACUCAACAGCUAGGUGGUAUCACUUCUGUAGUGAAUAAGAGUUCAAAAUUCAUACCAUUCACAACCAAAGCUCAUGCUGAUGUUGGCUUCGUUCUGAACCAUUCUGACAUAGGACCAUCGCCCUCAUAUCCUUGGAACAGGAAGUUAUGUUGUCGUCAAGGGCUUAUAUAGGAAGGGAGAGGAGGGCGUGUUUGAAAAGUUUUAUAGCCCUUGUCCCUUCACAGGGGAGGGCCACUGAUUGAGCAGCCCUAUUUUAUGAAAAUCCAAAUCUCACAUUCUUGAAGCUAAAAUCACAUUUCAUCACAUCACAAAUAAUGUCAUAUUCAAAUAUUUAAAUUGAACAACAAUUCCAUGUGAAUCUGAUAAAUCUUAUGUGUAGACUUUCCACUGUAGAGUUUAUGUCAUCUUAUCAUUGAUGAGAAUGUCUCAGAUGACAACCGAACUGACAUCAUAUUCAUUAAGUACCACCGCGUAUGUUCAAUUGUUCAGAUUACCAGAAUAUAGUUUGUUUCCCCCCACAUUCGGAUGUUCCCAGAAUCUCUAUGUUAACAAAGGGUUUUGCAAAAUGUAACCUUAGUAGGGUGGAGAGAGGAAAAAGGGGGGAAGAGGUAUUGAUGACUUUCAUAAACCAACCCCCCCAGACACACACAACCCAUGUCUCAAUUGUCUCAAGGCUUAAAAAUCCUCCUUUAACCCGUCUCCUCCCCUUCAUCUACACUGACUGAAGUGGAUUUAAAUGACAUCAAUAACGGAUCAUAGACUGAUGAUGAAAGCUAUGUCAGGGAAAGAGCAUUUGAUCUUAAUAUUUUGUAUACUCAGCGUCUUCUGAAAUAAGUUUAUGCUGAGUUUAUAUAUACAGUUUUGAUACUGUAUUCACUCACCUGCAUAAAACAUUUUUCAGUAUAUACCCCUAUGGGCGAACAACAUCACACAACGUUUAAUGUACAUUUGAUAUUGUAUUGUUGUCAACAAACGCGAAUUGAUUAUGCAUCCAACAACAACAACCAUUGUAUCAACUGUGAGACUUAGUUGACAUCUGACAAUACCUUGCAUGACUAAACUGUGUGCAGUCUCUAAUUUGCCCCCAACCUGUCUGAUUGUGUGCAUGUGUAUUGUGUUUUUUUCAGGCCAGACCCCAUGGCUCCAUUCGCUGCAGGAGGAGCCAUUCUGGAUCUCUUUGGGCCAGACCCAGAUCACGUGCCGCCGCCAGGCUAUGAUGACAUGUUCAUGUAGAAGAGAAGGCCUUUCCUGCUUCACUUCACACACUUCCUGGACCACUUCCUGUAUGCGCAAUGCAUGAAGAAUACACACUUAAUAAAACUGACGGACUCAUUUGUUCAGCGUGAGGACUAAAGUUACAUUGCACUCCCUUUUUGGGGGACGUACCUGUAGGUAAUGUAAUUGUACAGAAUUUGGGAGUUCCUAGAGUACAAAUCUGUUCAAGCAGAGAACAUUUGUUUUGAUUUUCAAAUGCUGGCUUUUGCCACUCACCUCCCCAAAAAUGUAAUGUGAAAAUAACUGUCAAUUAUUUUUUUACGGACAAAGUUGUUCAUAUACACACCUGCAGCAACAGAAGUGAAUUAUUGAUUGAUAAAAACAUUAGGGAUUUUGUAUUCUCUAGGAGUUUUGUAUUGUCUAGGGGUUCUGUAUUCUCUAGGAUAUUUGUAUGUCUAUGGUGACCUGAUUAUGGUUCCCAAUCAGAGGCAGCUGUUUAUCAUUGUCUCUGAUUGGGGAUAGUAUUUAGGUUGCCAUUUUCCUUUUUGGUUUUGUGGGUUCUUGUUCUAUGUUUAGUUGCCUGUCUAUAUUAGCUUCACGUAUCGUUUUGUUACUUUGUUCAGUGUUUCGUUCUUUAUUAAAGAAGAAUGUACGCA